GGGCCCAUAAUCUAGCGGUAAAAUACCAUCUCGGCAUGAUGGAGUCGUGGGUUCAACUCCCACUGGGUCCACAA
rnacentral:tRNA from 2 species